ACGGGAAUAGAGCAGUGGUAGCUUGCUGGUCUCAUACGCCAGAGGUCGUGGGUUCGAGUCCCGCUUCCCGAA
rnacentral:tRNA from 1 species